rnacentral:rRNA from 1 species
CACUCCUACGGGAGGCAGCAGUGGGGAAUAUUGCACAAUGGGCGCAAGCCUGAUGCAGCCAUGCCGCGUGUAUGAAGAAGGCCUUCGGGUUGUAAAGUACUUUCAGCGGGGAGGAAGGCGAUAAGGUUAAUAACCUUGUCGAUUGACGUUACCCGCAGAAGAAGCACCGGCUAACUCCGUGCCAGCAGCCGCGGUAAUACGGAGGGUGCAAGCGUUAAUCGGAAUUACUUGGCGUAAAGCGCACGCAGGCGGUCUGUCAAGUCGGAUGUGAAAUCCCCGGGCUCAACCUGGGAACUGCAUUCGAAACUGGCAGGCUAGAGUCUUGUAGAGGGGGGUAGAAUUUCAGGUGUAGCGGUGAAAUGCGUAGAGAUCUGGAGGAAUACCGGUGGCGAAGGCGGCCCCCUGGACAAAGACUGACGCUCAGGUGCGAAAGCGUGGGGAGCAAACAGGAUUAGAAACCCCAGUAGUCCC